CGGCAUGGAUUAGGCAUGCAAGUCGAACGGGAGCAGCAAUGCUCCAGUGGCGCAAGGGUGAGGAACACGUGAACAACCUGCCUUCGAGUUGGGGAUAGCUUCUGGAAACGGGAGAUAAUACCGAAUAACAUCACCGGAUCGCAUGAUCUGGUGAUCAAAGCAGCAAUGCGCUUGAAGAGGGGUUCGCGUCCCAUUAGCUAGUUGGUGAGGUAACGGCCCACCAAGGCGAUGAUGGGUAGCUGGUCUGAGAGGACGAUCAGCCACAUUGGGACUGAGAUACUGCCCAGACUCCUACGGGAGGCUGCAGUCGAGAAUUUUGGGCAAUGGACGAAAGUCUGAACCCCCAGCAAUGCCGCGUGCGGGAUGAAGGUCUUCGGAUUGUAAACCGCUGUCAAGAGGGACGAAACAUGACGGUACCUCUGGAGGAAGCCACGGCUAACUACGUGCCAGCAGCGGC
rnacentral:rRNA from 1 species